rnacentral:misc_RNA from 1 species
UUUCCGUAGGUGAACCUGCGGAAGGAUCAUUCAUAAUAAAGUGUUUUAUGGCACUUUUUAAAAAUCCAUAUCCACCUUGUGUGCAAUGUUAGAUCUCGUCAAUCUUGGCGAGAUUUUUAUACAUCAACUCAUUCUUUAACUAAUUUGUCUGAAAAUUAUUAUGAAUACUUAAUUCAAAAUACAACUUUCAACAACGGAUCUCUUGGCUCUC